rnacentral:rRNA from 1 species
CCUGCCACCCUGAACGCAUCUGAUCUCGUCUGAUCUUAGAAGCUAAGCAGGGUUGGGACUGGUUAGUACUUGGAUGGGAGGCAGUGACCAUUCUAACAGGU